rnacentral:rRNA from 1 species
UGGGGAAUCUUGCGCAAUGGCCGAAAGGCUGACGCAGCGACGCCGCGUGGAGGAUGACGCCCUUCGGGGUGUAAACUCCUGUUGCCCGGGACGAAUGCCUGUUUCGACAGGAGUGACGGUACCGGGUGAGGAAGCACCGGCUAACUCUGUGCCAGCAGCCGCGGUAAUACAGAGGGUGCGAGCGUUGUCCGGAAUCACUGGGCGUAAAGGGCGCGUAGGCGGUCGGGUAAGCGUGUGGUGAAAGUCCGGG